UUGUUACAUUACAGGUUGUGCUAAAUGCGUGGUGCUGGAAGCUGAAAUACAGCGACUGAAAGAGGAACUACAAAGGCACAAGGAAGAAAAGGAUGUGUGAAAAUGCACUGAAAUAAACUUGCCAUUGUGGCACUGUGAAUGUUAAUGUAUUUUAAACAUUGUAUGUACAAUAAUAAAAUUGGUGUGACAUUGCA